GACGAACGCUGGCGGCGUGCCUAAUACAUGCAAGUCGAGCGAAGUUUUUCUGGUGCUUGCACUAGAAAAACUUAGCGGCGCACGGGUGAGUAACACGUAAAGAACCUGCCUCAUGGACUGGGACAACUAUUGGAAACGAUAGCUAAUACCGGAUAACAGUAUUUCUCGCAUGAGAGAUAUUUAAAAGUUGGUUAUGCUAACACUAUGAGAUGGCUUUGCGGUGCAUUAGCUAGUUGGUGGGGUAAAGGCCCACCAAGGCGACGAUGCAUAGCCGACCUGAGAGGGUGAUCGGCCACACUGGGACUGAGACACGGCCCAGACUCCUACGGGAGGCAGCAGUAGGGAAUCUUCCGCAAUGGGCGAAAGCCUGACGGAGCAACGCCGCGUGAGUGAAGAAGGAUUUCGGUUCGUAAAGCUCUGUUGUUAGGGAAGAAUGGAUAUGUAGUAACUAUACAUGUAAGAGACGGUACCUAACCAGAAAGCCACGGCUAACUACGUG
rnacentral:rRNA from 1 species